AUGCAGCAGAUCAACAAGAAGUCGCCAAGACCGGUUAGUGCACCUGCACCGAGACCAAAAUGUUGGCUACCUCCGGACCAAGGGUGUGCCAAAGUUAACGUGGAUGCAACGCUAUCGAGAAGAGGCACAUAUGGUUCGGUUGCUGCUAUGUGUAGGGACCAACAUGGUCUGUUCCUUGGAGCUUCGGUCAUUGGUUUCAGGCAAAUCAAUGAUCCUCAAACACUCGAAUCCCUGUCCAUAAGGGAAGCACUAGCUUUGGCGGAGGACUUGUACGUUCAAAGCAUUCAUGUGGGAUCCGAUUGCAAGACGGUGGUAUAAGAUAUACAGAGGGGUACUUCAGCUUCAUAUGGCGUGGUGAUACAUGAAAUCAUAGAACAUUCUGCCAGCGUUCAAUUUUGUAAAAUAGUCCAUGAAUUUAGGAGCUCAAAUUUUGAGGCUCACAACUUAGCGAAGCAUGCUUUAUCUCUCGGGAGUGGCCGCCAUGUCUGGUUAGGCCAUCCUGGAGAUCUUUCUUUCGUCCCUGUAAACAUUGUGACGGGUUAA
rnacentral:rRNA from 1 species